rnacentral:rRNA from 1 species
UACGUAGGCAGCGAGCGUUGUUCGGAAUUACUGGGCGUAAAGAGUGUGUAGGCGGUGCUCCCAGUCUGUUGUGAAAUCUCCCGGCUUAACUGGGAGGGUGCAGCGGAAACUAGAGUGCUAGAGGGUGGGAGAGGUAAGCGGAAUUCCUGGUGGAGUGGUGAAAUGCGUAGAGAUCGGGAGGAACACCAGUGGCGAAGGCGGCUACCUGGACCAGCAUUGACACUCAAGCACGAAAGCGUGGGGAGCAAACAGG